AUAAGAGAAAUUAGGUGGUAUGGCUAAAACAAAAACAAUAUUUAGAUCAGUAGCCAAAUACCCUAGAAUACACUGAUACAUAGUGUAUUUUGUAUAAUAUUACACUUCUAACCUUCAACGCAACCGGCUCAACCUGCAAUUUAAAAGAAAAAAAAAUUAUUCAAGAGAGAAAAAGUUAAACAUGGUCAUGAGAAAGUCACAUAUUUCUUCUUCUUCUUCCUAACGUUUUACAUGGUUUUCAUUCCACAUUAUUGUUAUACUAUACUAUUUAUUUCGUUCCAUUCUAUUUAGGUUGAAGGUUUAAAUUUGGGUUUAAAGUUUAUAUUUGAAUUUAGGGUUUAGUGAUUAUAGUUUAAGGUUAAGUAUAUAGGGGUUUAUGGUGGGAUUGUUAUAUGGUUAAUUAUUGAGGGGUUUAGGGUUUAUUGAUUAGAGUUUAGGGUGUAGUACUUCCUCUCAAAUCUAUUUUCCUUUUCAUUUUAUAUAGUAUAAGUGAUAGUACAAAAUAUUAUAUAUUAUUUUCAUAUUUUAAUUUAAUCUAAAAUAUUUUACAUUUAGAUUUGGGUUUAAGAAUUCAAGUUUAGGGUUUAGUAUUUCAGUCUUGGAGGUGUGUUGGGUUUAGGGUUGGAAGUGGGUUGGGGUUGAAUUACAAGAGUAGUCUUCAUUCCAUAUUAGAUAGUAUAGAAUAAUAGUUCAAAAUUUAUAUAUUUAUUAUUUGUUGUUUUUUUUUAAAAAAUAUUGUAACUUUAAAUUAAAUUUAACAUUUGGGUUUAGGUUUAGAGCCUCGAGUUUAUGGUUUAAUAUUUAGGUGUGCAGGUUAGGUUUAGAGUUUAUGAUUCUGUUUUGUAUGAAGAUGUUAUGUUUGUUCUAUCUGACGUAGUACUUUUAUAAAUGAAAUAGAACACUUACUUAAUAGUUAAUCUGUAAGUGGACCAUAUUAAAUUUCAAUUUCUCUUGGAUAUGUGCUCUCGUCGACGUUAAUCCUUGGUCUCACAGUCACCGGUAACUUAGAAAGGAUAAGGACAUAACCGGAUAAAAGAUGUAUGAAAUGUUAUUAAUUUAAUAACGUCUAAAUCAAAACUAUUUACUUAAUUUUGACUCCACUUGGGUAGAUGGCAAAUUCACCCUUUAUAUAAUCACCGAUUUGUAGAAAAGACAUCAGAGUUCAAGGUCAACGAAUUCGUUUUUAUAUUUGCACCUUGUAAUUAUAUGAACGUACACACCUGUGACCUGCCCCAUUUGGCUUGGACCGACGAUAGCUAACUCAUUUGACCUUUGUUCAUUUCAGUUUUGACAAGUGACAUGCCAAUAUUUAAAACUUCCAAAAUUUAAUCUUUGAACAUUUGGGCUUUGAAUACUAUUAUGGU
rnacentral:lncRNA from 1 species